rnacentral:sRNA from 1 species
AGGAGAAAGGAAGACUGAAGUAGGACAGAGAGAGUAAAGGAAAGAAGACACUUCAAACCAAGAGUGAGACCACUGGCAUGAACCCACACCAGUCUGGGCUUUAUUCAUUAAUUAAAACCCUUGGCAUGCCAUGAAUUACACUAAUAAUUACAUCAGAAGAUGUAGCAGUCACCAAGGUCAGGAGGCCGAAGUAGUCAAUUACUGUUUUUAUUCGGAUUUCAACAAAAGCGUCUCUUCUAGAUGAGCAGCCCUGGAGAAUGACGGAUCCCAGAUGACAGCCCCGGCUUGGCUUUCUGCUCCCAAUUCUCCAAGGUUGAAACCAUGAUUUAAUCUCAUCUUCCCCGGCCCAAAGCAUUUCGAGAAACUAUAGUUUCGAAGGUUAAAAACAUAAUUAGCUAACGGGGAUCCUUCGAAAUUACAUGCUCCACAGAUGGGUUGGCUGACAAGUUUAUUCUGUUGCCCCACUGUCUAGAUCCAGACAGUCUGAGAAUGUCAAAAGAUACCCUGGCCUCAGUGAGCCACCCACCCAGGUGAUGACACUGCAGAACCUAGACGCACAGAAUGUGUGGGGAUCCUCGGCCAGGGACACGCAAGUCUCCUGACCGUCCCAACAUCCGUCUAAACGGCCAAGACCCUUGCAAUGCUGAGCCUUCGCCCCUAAUUUUACAGGAACCAACGCUUGAGAGGGACUUUCAGAGUGUUCCCGUAGUUCCCUGUUCUCCGCCUCUUUGAAUUUCACACAGUUAUCUGACGAUCAGUAAUAUACAGGAAGAACAACAGAGCAAGCCAGAUCCACCAACGACUCAGCUUGGAACCAGCUGUACUUGAAAAUAAAAUCAACCAUAACUUAGAAAAAAGAAAAAUUCUUCUAUGGCAAUUUCUGCUAAGCAACCAGUUCACCUGCCACACCCAUGGUGUGCCUGACCCCUGAGGUGUGCCUGACCCCUGAGGUGUGCCUGACCCCUGAGGUGUGCCUGACCCCUGAAGUGUGCCACACACACUCCUGAGGUGUGCCCGACCCCUGAGGUGUGCCUGACCCCUGAGGUGUGCCCAGACAUACCCGAGGUGUGCCACACACACUCCUGAGGUGUGCCCGACCCCUGAGGUGUGCCUGAACCCUGAAGUGUGCCACACACACUCCUGAGGUGUGCCUGACCCCUGAGGUGUGCCUGACCCCUGAGGUGUGCCUGACCCCUGAGGUGUGCCUGAACCCUAAAGUGUGCCACACACACUCCUGAGGUGUGCCCGACCCCUGAGGUGUGCCUGACCCGAGGUGUGCCACACACACUCCUGAGGUGUUCCCGACUCCUAAGGUGUGCCCGACUCCUGAGGUGUGCCCGACCCCUGAGGUGUGCCGGCCAAGCAGAGUCUCUGCCAUAUAAACUGACCACUAACCACUCAGCUCGGAGUCCUCGGUGAGCAAAACUUUCACAGGAUUACAUUGUUGGUCUUGCAUCUUUUUAAAAAAAAAAAAAUUCAGCUACUUUGGUCCAGAAAAAAUAAAACAUUCUAGAUCUUGAAAUAUAUUCUACUAGGGAUAUAAAGGCUAUUUUCAAUUUAAUAAUGGUUACCAUAUGCCACUGAUAAAUUCAUCAAAGAAAGUAAUGGGUCACUUGUCACCUCUUGGGAGAAAGCUCCUCCGAGAGAUAAUCUUCAAUAAUAAACGUAUUCAUCAGACACACCCACCCAAAUCUUGAGGCUACCGUUCUUGAAGGGCUGUGAUUUCCUGGCCAUUUGUUUACUGAUAGGUGUCUAUCUAUGUAGUAGAUCAUUCCAGAAAGAUCUACUAGACAGAACUCCUCAGCUGGAGACUCGCCGUCAGACAGUUGCUUAUUUUAACCCAACGGAGACCAAAUGAACGGUUUCAUUAAAGCCACUUUACAAAACCACAGCUCACAAAUCAUUCCCACUGCAGCUUUCUCCCAAAGACCCGUGCGCGCACUGAGCGCCCGGCCGCCCCUUCCCUUCAGGACUAGGAAGUCAUGAGGAUGUCUGCGCUCACAGAGCUCGGUCUGUGUCUGCUUCCCACUUCGAGGACGGGGAUGUUGUUGCAGACACCACUCAGGACAGUGCUUUACACGGUCACGCUGCCGGCCAAUGCACACGCAGGUCACUGAAGUCAGCCCAUUCUCCCCGUUUAUUUCCUCUGAGCCAUAAGAACCAUCUGCAUUUCAGAAAUUUUGUUAGUUACCACAGCCCCUGCAAGGAAAGGAGUGGGAAUGGAAGGAGGAGCUGAAAUACUUGAGGAUUCCAGAGUGAAGGUUGGGUGGGAAGCUAGCAAGGGGGGCAGAUAAAGGGCAAGAGAAGAGAGAUGGCUUAUCAUACUGGUUAGCCACAUUCCCUCCAGCAAAAAAGAAACUGAAUUGAAUGGUAAGAUCUCUGGUUCCUUCUGAUAAUGAGGAAAAAAACGUAAACUCAAGUUGGCUUCCAGAGUACCCCAGCUGUCUUGCUUCAAAGCUCCAACAAGUCACCCUCAACGUGGUGUAAUGGGGUACACGGUUGGCCAGGAGCAGCCCGUUUGCAGAGACAGGCCCCAGAAUGGGCUAGCUGCAAACAUCUACACUUUGCGAGCAUAAAGCUCUCCAGGCAGGAGCUGACAGGCGAGAGUGAGCUUGCACACGGCCAAGCCCAGCCAGCACACGGAGCCAGCCUCGAUAAGCCUCGGGUGAAAAUAAUGGAAAGAAUAUUUCUCUGUGGCUUCGGGGUGAGAGAUAAGGAGCCAGGGCAACCAAUUUCAAGUAAAACUAGAGCUUUGUCAAUGUCAACAGAGCUGGGUUUGCGAUGUUUCGGGAAGGUUUUUUUUUUUAAUACUACAACACCAAGAAGAUUCAAAGUCGCCGUCCCAACCCUGUAUUUAUCCAUCCUAACUCUCAUCAUCGUUAAACUUAAGAGAGAGUUUAAGCCUGUCUUGAUCUCAUCUCAGGGACUCUCAACUGUCACUGAGCACCCCCAUAUCCGUGCAGUGAACAACUUUACAACCCACUGCACCUCAGAAGGCAGUCGGGAGACUUUUUAGAAGCCUGGUUAAGUACAAGUAAGUAAAUAGCUACUUACUUAGGGGCAGAAUGCACUUUUAAAACCAGAACAAGGAGGAGAGUGGCCUGUUCCCACAUCAAGGAAAGUUGCUUACUCCCUCUGCCCAUCUCUGCCAGGGUAGGUCUCACGCCAGGUGCUGGGGCACAGAGCAGCUGAGGGGACACUGAGGAGGCCCAGAGGCCUCACUGGACAUCCUCGCUGUGACAGGAAGGGAAUGCAGGGAAAGGCGGUUGAGCGACCUCCUAAGCUAUCCCUUAAGGGAACUGGGAUGGGGUGGACAGCAAGGAGGCAGAAGGAAGCAGGGAGGAUGAAAAGGCAGGAGGAGGGAAGUCUACACACAUUUCAGACUGUGGAGGGAAAGCCGUGAAGGCAGGGAUGGGUGUUCCGAGCUCGCCCACGCAAUGUAUGCACAGAAUUUACCAUCCUAGAGGAGCGUUUUCCUCUGCCUACACCGACUUAUUCUCAGAGGCCGCACCUCACAUAACAGUCUUUCUGAAAUCCUGUAGGCCUGCUUGAUCCUCCCCUCAUGUAUCCUGUGAAGACAGGGGCCUUAGGGAUGGCAGGAUGACUCCUGUCCUUCUCCCUCCAAAAAGGGAGACUUUGUGUUAAGUGGCUGACUAACUCAGACCUACUUUGAAGAAGAAAAGAGGUAUUGGUUUUAUUUUAAAAUUUUAUCAGGAAUCAAAUUCUCUUUAAAAAAAAAAAAUAAUAAUAAGGUUAGUUGGGCCGUAAGGUUAGUACUUUUUAAAGGGACUCACACAGUAAGUACAAAGUGAAGUCUGUAAAAUGUUUGUAGAUGAAGCGUAACUAGAUAGUGAAUUUCUUCGCAUAGACUUCUGUUGUACAACUCUUCAGGGUGAGACCAGGUUGCUAGAGAAUAAACGGUCUGCCUUAAAACUCUUUUCCUUUAACAACUGCUUUCGGUAGAGGGAAGCUAAAACGACUGGUGUCGAUAUCUGUAGGCUGCAAGAAUUCAGGACACAUAACUUAAAAGUGGAUUUAAGCUCAGAGAAACCGAAGGUUAAAAAACAAAUUCUCAAGAACAACCAAAAAGGAGAUCAUUCGGCGAUUUCCGUGUAGUAUAGCGGUAGUGGUCAACUGACUAAAACGGCCCAACUAGGUCAGAGAUUCGCUUAGUCUGAGCUUAGGAACCACACGAAGGCCCUUCUCUCAGGGGAGUGGAGCUCUCUUGUCCACGUAGUCUGAACAGGAAGAACAGGGGCGGACAUCCUUUGACCCCUGCCCUGAGCCUGGAGGAGGAGCUCCAGGGGAAGUGUAGACAGCAGAGCCAGCUCCAGCAGGACUCUCAGAAACCUCCACUCCCACUGCCCCGUCCCCCACACCCUGCUGAUCCAAAAGGAAGUCUGCAAAUCAUAACCACAACUUCGCCUGCUUCUGAUCCUGAGUGAAAAUCAUUCCUGACAGUGCCACAGGCUCGAUGCGGUCUUGUGAGCCAGGGAACAUCACGGCACAAACUUCUGGAAGCUGAGGUGCAUGAGUUUAACCAGUUACACUCCUGGACAUGAACACCCUUUGAUGCUGG